rnacentral:rRNA from 1 species
AUGGCUCGUGUGGGUGCUGCAGCCUAUCGAUUGGAAUUACCUGCCUCCAGCCUAAUACGUCCAGUCUUCCACAUAUCUCAGUUGAAGCCGUUCACUGCCAACUAUUCUCCUAUUUUUCAAGAAUUACCAAUUCCACCUGAUUUGUCAGCGGUCACACUACAACCAGAGGCUAUUCUUGAUCGCCGUAUGGUGAAGAAAGGGAACUCAUCUAUUCCACAAAUCAAGGUACAAUGGCAUGGUGUCACGGCUGAUCAUGCAACCUGGGAGGACUAUUACAUUCUGCGCGCUUGCUUUCCGUCAGCAACUCUCAGGGACGAGGCUCCAGCUCAAGGGGGGAGGAGUGUCACGGCUCCGUCAGAUCCGACGUCUCUGGAUGACAGAUAG